UACGAAGGGGGGCUAGCGUUGCUCGGAAUCACUGGGCGUAAAGCGCACGUAGGCGGCUUGUUAAGUCAGGGGUGAAAUCCUGGAGCUCAACUCCAGAACUGCCUUUGAUACUGGCGAGCUUGAGUUCGGGAGAGGUGAGUGGAACUGCGAGUGUAGAGGUGAAAUUCGUAGAUAUUCGGAAGAACACCAGUGGCGAAGGCGGCUCACUGGCCCGGUACUGACGCUGAGACGCGAAAGCGUGGGGAGCGAACAGG
rnacentral:rRNA from 1 species